rnacentral:lncRNA from 10 species
GUUUUGUUGCUGAUGCUCGUAAUGCUGGUGAUGAGGUGGAGGGAGAAGGCGUAGAGAGGUAAACAGGUGGCAAAGCUUAUGUGCCAUUCUAUGGCUUUGAUUUUUUUUCACUCAGAGCUCUGGGGAGUCAUUAAAGCUUUCUGAGCUGGAGAAUGGCAUAAUCAGAUUUGAAUUUGUAAGAGCUCAUUCUGGCAGUGGUGUAGAAAGGGCUAGACUGUAGACAGGGAGAUUGGUUGGAAAGCAAUUUAAUGAAUUGAAGCCAUUGGGAAGGAAAAUUAAAGGAAAGGGUGAGGUUGCAGAAAUAUUCAGGCCUUUUUUAUUUUUAAUUUUUAUGGAUACAUAAUAGUUGUACAAUUUUAAAAUAUAAAAUAAAUAUAUUUCUAUAGCAAAAAAGGAGAAAUAUUUAGUUCUAAAGAUUAUUUUAUUUUUCCAAAGCGGAUUCUAAAAAGACUUGCUUCUUUACGGCCAUCACCUACAGGGAGGAAUUUUUUCUUCUCCUCAUCAAGUGGUCUACAGGAGAUGAGGUUGUUUCUGGCUGCAAAGUCCAGGAUCAAGGACUGAAGAAAAUAAUGAAGUUUGGAGGAUUGGCUGCACAUUUCCUCUUCCUCUAUCAGUGAGGGAGAAGUGAUCAUAUCCCAUCUGACAUUGAUGAGAAAUGGAGAAAACAUCUUGGAAAAUAUGCUAGGGACAGUGAGAGUGGAAUAGGACCACCUCCCUUCACUAUAAAUCAGCAGUUCCUAAGUGAUGUAGAAGUUGAAUACUUCAUGAGGCCAUAGGUUUGACAUUGGAUGCAGAUCUGUAAGGUGCUAACACUCAACUACAUCCGUUAGCUCUCCAGUUUUUGAACUGAUAUGAAACCUCCAAUACUAUCCAGGAACUCACAGCAAGGAAAUAAUAUUCAGAGAUAUGAAUCACGUUACACACACCAGAGAACGACCAUGUGAGCACACAGGAAGAUGACCACCUUUUGCAAGCCAAAAAGAAAGCGCUCACAAGCAACCAAAUAGGCCAGCACCCUGAUUUUGGACUUCCCAGCUUCAAGAAGUGAGAGUAAUAAGUUUGUAUUCUUUAAGUCAUCCAGGUUACAAGCAGACUAAAGCAGCUUCUUCCACUUGUUCAAAAUUCUACAUUUUAAAUUUUUAUAAUGUGUUUUGGUUGUUUUAAGUACAACUUUGCAGUAUUUCUUAUCUUUGGUGGCAUUUUCAGAAUACCAAAUAAAAGCAGGUUGAACAAUAAAGACAUUUAUUUUCUCAGUAAAAAAAGUGACAAGUUCAGCAGUGUCAGUUCCAAUCUUCAUCCAGUGGCUCAGCGACAUAAUCAAGGACUGUCUCUUCUCAUUUUUCCCUGUCCACUGUCCUCAGAAGAUUGUAGAACCUCAUAAUUGAAAGACGGCCAUUGCACUUUCUAUGAUCAAAAGUUCUUAUCAGAUAUCACUGAAAGCAGAAAGGAUAAGAUCAGAAGGAAAAAUUGUCUUUGGUGGUGGUAAAUUAAAUAACCAAGAGACCAUUAGUCCGACUCUGUCUCCAUACUUUGAGUUCACACAUAACAAACCACAACCUAACAUAGUAUGUAAACCAAAACUGAACUUAGAAGUACAUUUUUUUGGUAACCAAUAAUCAGGUUUCAUCCAGUCACAAAUAGCACAGUUUCAGCCAGUCACAGGCAGCCAACUAAUCAAACCAUGUUGAAAUAAGGAAAAUACCUCAUCAUAGCAUACCCAAAUAAGACAGAUGCUUAGCUUUCCUGCUAAUCAGGAAACUUUCCUAUUUUGCUUCCAUGUUCAGCCUAUAAAAGCUUGCUGCUCUCACUGCUAGGUGAGCUCUCUGAACUUCUUCUGGCUCUGAGUGCUGCCCAAUUCAUGAAUUAUUAUUUUUCACUCAAAUAAACUCUGUAAAAUUUAAUUUUUCUGAAGUUCUUUUUUUUGGACACUGGUUAUAAAUUGAGUCACAUCCCCACCUAAAUAAGACAAUUAUUGAUGAAUGGGAAUGGAAUUACCAUGAUUGUUUAACUAAUAAUUAUGUAUACCCUAGGUCUUGGUCCACUGCCAAAAAUAGUGUUCUAUUGAUUAAGAACAAAAUCGAGGAUCAGCCUAUAUCAUUAUUUGAAGUGUAAUCUAAUAUGAUGUCACAUUAUCAAAUCUCCUUCACUGUCAAGAUGGUUGCCAACUCAAUAAUAUCAGCACUUCAACAAAUAUGACUUAGACUCAGAUGGGAGUUAAAGCCAAGGGAGGUUUUUCAUAUGGUUGAAUAAUGGAAAUUUUGUGAGAAUGCUCCAAACAUCUAGUUUCUGUUCCCACCAAUCUGACUGGGGAACAGGCAUCCUGCAGUGGCUGUAAUCCAGAUCCUCCCCUUUAGGAUUGAGGCACAUUCCCCAGCUGCCAGGAAUGUUUGUUCAAAAUGGUAAUUAUAUGGCACCAUAUUUCUUCUCAUAGUUUCUCUGUAAAUUUCCUCAUUUCUGAAUUAUUAAAAAAUUAAGGUCCUGUUCUUGCUACCAUAUCAGAGUAAAACAAAUAAAUAUUUUUCUGUUGGCAAGAGGUAACUUUUCUAAAACAAAAAUAGUUAAUGUUCCAUCCUGGCCAGCAUGGUGAAACCCUGUCUCUACUAAAAAUACAAAAAUUAGUGUGGCAUGGUGGUGUUCACCUGUGGUGCUAGCUACUCAGGAGGCUGAGGCAGGAGAAUCUCUUGAACCUGGGAGGCGGAGGUUGCAGUGAGCCGAGAUCGUGCCACUGUACUCCAGCCUGACAACAAAGCGAGAUUCUGUCAAAAAAAAAAUAGUUAAUAUCUUAGGUAGUUUGGUUUUAUUAUGUAAACUGUCACCCCAACAAUCAUGUCUUUUAUAUCUAUAAAUGCUUCAUGGAAAUCAGAGACAGAUGGCUAAGGUCUAAAUAUGGCAAUAUCUAGCAUACGAAAACAGCCAUGGAAGAUGAGUUAGGAAGAAUAAUGGUCCUUCAAAUACAUCCACAUUCUUAUAUGCUGAGCCUGAUAUAAAAGAUUAUAUUUAUAUGAUAUUUAUAUGUUAUAUAAUUAACAAAUGUUUACGAUGUUACAAAACAUAAUAACAUUUAUUCUGUCUGCUACCUUAAUCACUCUUUACUUUCCAUGGCAAAGAAUGAUUAACGUAGCAGAUAGAAUAAAUGUUGCUAAAUUAGCUGCCCUUAAAAUUGAUUGUCUGGGCAGACUUGAUGCGAUGACAAUGCUCAUUUAAAGUGGAAAAAGGAGGCUGAGUAGGACAUCAUAGUGAUACAAUAUGAAAAGAUCUCAACCCUCUUUAUCCGGCUUUGAAGAUGGAGAAAGGGAACAAAGAGCCAAGGAAGGUGGGUUGUCUCUAGAAGCUGAAAACUGCAAGAAACUGUCUCUUCUCUGGAGCCUCCAGAAAAGAAUGCAGCCCUGCCUACACCUUUAUUUCAGCCCUGUGAGACAUUUGACCCCCA